CAUAUCACUACGAAUACGAAUCUCGAACAACUUGAAGUUUUACGGCUGAUUUUCAUUCAAGAUGCUGCUUUCGUGUGUCGCUUUGAUAGUGAUGGUGUCGAUCUCUGUAAAUGGCAAUGGUCGAAAUAUGUGAAUGGGUCCUCCUUUUUACUGGACUGACUGGGAAAAUGAAGAGGAGUGUUCCGUGCUCUGCGGAACGGGUCUCAGACCACAGAUUAAACGUGCGAUAUGCUACGAACGUUUUACCUGCAGCCCCACGGACAUGCCACCGCCCGAUAGGAGAAACGUAACGUGUAACACCCAACCGUGUGGAGACACCUGCCCGCCUGGAGUGUAUAAGUUUGUGCCGCACCCCACGAACACACAUCGCUUCUACCAAUGCGCAAACGAGAGAGCCUUUCUUCAUCGUUGUCCAGCGUCGCUUGUCUGGGGACAGGAGCUUGGAAGAUGUGCAUGGGCAUGGGAAGUCUAGUCAUAACUAUGAUGUCGUCAUGACUUCCUAGCAUCUUGCGUGUAAUAUCAUGCAUGGAAAUUAACUGCUAUUCCAGCGUCUGAAACUGAUGUUUAACUGAAUAAAAAUGAUUGCACGCAAA